AAGUCAUGAUGUGGACACUUCCUUAACUACUUCUUAUGCCUCUCCCAAGCUUUAUAUAAUGAUUCAUUAUCACCUCGCACAAAAGAGGUGAUAUCAUUCCUCAUCUU